AACGAACGCUGGCGGCAUGCCUAACACAUGCAAGUCGAACGAGACCUCCGGGUCUUGUGGCGUAUGGGUGCGUAACGCGUGGGAACCUGCCCUUAGGUUCGGCAUAACUCUCCGACAGGGGUGCUAAUACCGGACAAUGUCUUCGGACCAAAGAUUUAUCGACCUUGGAUGGGCCCUCGUUGGAUUAGCUAGUUGGUAGGGUAACAGCUUACUAAGGCGACGAUUAACAGCUGGUUUGAGAGAAUGGUCAGCCACACUGGGACUAGGACGCGGCCCAGACUCCUACGGAAAGCAGCAAUGGGGAAUAUUGGAAAAUGGGCGGAAGCCUGAUCCAGCAAUGCCGCGAAAGUGAUGAAGGCCGUAGAGAUGUAAAGCUCUUUUAACCAGGAUGAUAAUGACGGUACCGGAAGAAUAAGCUCCGGCUAACUACGUG
rnacentral:rRNA from 1 species